rnacentral:siRNA from 1 species
AUGAAAUCUAGGUGGCAAGCUCUC